rnacentral:rRNA from 1 species
GUAGUCCUAGGGCUCAGGAUGAACGCUAGCUACAGGCUUAACACAUGCAAGUCGAGGGGCAGCAUGAACUUAGCUUGCUAAGUUUGAUGGCGACCGGCGCACGGGUGAGUAACACGUAUCCAACCUUCCGUUUACUCAGGGAUAGCCUUUCGAAAGAAAGAUUAAUACCUAAUAGUAUGGUGAGAUUGCAUGAUAGCACCAUUAAAGAUUUAUUGGUAAACGAUGGGAAUGCGUUCCAUUAGGUAG